rnacentral:rRNA from 1 species
AUACGUAGGAUCCGAGCAUUAUCCGGAGUGACUGGGCGUAAAGAGUUGCGUAGGUGGAUGUUUAAGUAGAUGGUGAAAUCUGGUGGCUCAACCAUUCAGACUGUUAUCUAAACUGGACAUCUCGAGAGCGUCAGGGGUGACUGGAAUUUCUAGUGUAGGAGUGAAAUCCGUAGAUAUUAGAAGGAACACCGAUAGCGUAGGCAGGUCACUAGGGCGUUUCUGACACUAAGGCACGAAAGCGUAGGGAGCAAACGGGAUUAGAUCCCCCGGUAGUCUACGCCGUAAACGAUGGAUGCUAGCUGUGGGGGGUAUCGACCCCUUCCGUAGCGAAGCUAACGCGUUAAGCAUCCCGCCUGUGUAGUACGAUCGCAAGAUUAAAACUCAAAGGAAUUGGCGGGG